GACGAACGCUGGCGGCGUGCCUAAUACAUGCAAGUGGGACGCAAGGACACACACUGUGCUUGCACACCGUGUUUUCUUGAGUCGCGAACGGGUGAGUAACGCGUAGGUAACCUUCCUAUUAGCGGGGGAUAACUAUUGGAAACGAUAGCUAAUACCGCAUAAUAUUAAUUAUUGCAUGAUAAUUGAUUGCAUGCUGCAAUCGCAUCACUAGUAGAUGGACCUGCGUUUGAUUAGCUAGUUGGUAAGGUAAGAGCUUACCAAGGCGAAGAUACAUAGCCUACCUGGGAGGGUGAUCGGCCAAACUGGGACUGAGACACGGGCCAGACUCCUACGGGAGGCAGCAGUAGGGAAACUUCGGCAAUGGACGAAAGUCUGACCGAGCAACGCCGCGUGAGUGAAGAAGGGUUUCGGAUCGUAAAGCUCUGUUGUAAGUCAAGAACGUGUGUGAGAGUGGAAAGUUCACACAGUGACGGUAGCUUACCAGAAAGGGACGGCUAACUACGUG
rnacentral:rRNA from 1 species